rnacentral:misc_RNA from 1 species
CCGAGAGAGGGCGCCUCGCGCGCCCGACCUCCCAACCCUUUGUUUGACCAAAAACCACGUUGCCUCGGGGGGACGACCCGGUCGCCCCCGGCGGACCAACCUUCAAAACUCUGCAUCUUUGCGUCGGAGUCAUAAGUUUAAAUCGUUUUA